UGCCAGCCGCCGCGGUAAUACAGAGGGUGCAAGCGUUAUUCGGAAUUACUGGGCGUAAAGCGCGCGUAGGCGGACUGUUAAGUCGGUUGUGAAAGCCCUGGGCUCAACCUAGGAACUGCAUCCGAUACUGGCAAUCUAGAGUUUAAGAGAGGGAAGUGGAAUUCCAGGUGUAGCAGUGAAAUGCGUAGAUAUCUGGAGGAACAUCAGUGGCGAAGGCGACUUCCUGGCUUAAAACUGACGCUGAGGUGCGAAAGCUUGGGUAGCGAACGGGAUUAGAUA
rnacentral:rRNA from 1 species